rnacentral:rRNA from 1 species
AACUAAAAUUAGCUCAAAAUAACAAACAUAAAAUAAUCAUAACAAAAUAAAAUAAAACAUUCAUAGAACUUAAAGUAUAGGCGAUAGAAAUUAUAUUUGACGCUAUAGAGAAAGUACCGCAAGGGAAUAAUGAAAGAAAAUUAUAAGUAAGAAAUAGCAAAGAUUAAAUCUUGUACCUUUUGCAUAAUGACUCAACUAGAAUAUAUUAGCAAAAAGAAUUGAAGUUAAACAACCCGAAACCAGACGAGCUACCCACUAGCAAUCAACAGGAUAAACUCAUCUAUGUGGCAAAAUAGUGAAAUGACUACCGGGUAGAGGCGAAAAACCUAUCGAGCCUGGUGAUAGCUGGUUAUCCAGAACAGAAUUUUAGUUCUAACUUAAGCUUACCAAAAAAAAAUAAGUUUAAAUGUAUGCUUAAGUGGUAGUCUAAGAGGGUACAGCCUUUUAGAAAAGGGAUACAACCCCUAUUAGAGAGUAAAAAAAUUAUAUACCACAACAGUUGGCUUAAAAGCAGCCACCAAUUGAGAUAGCGUUCAAGCUCAACAGCAACAACCGAAUUAAUCUCGACUUACAAUAACUAACACUCCUAAUAUAAAACUGGAUUACUCUAUUAUUAAAUAGAGGCAAUAAUGUUGAUAUGAGUAACAAGAAAUAUUUCUCCAUGCACGCGUAUACAUCAGAACGAAUGACUCGCUGAUAAUUACCAAAACAAAUAUAAUUAAUAAAUUAAGUACUAUUAUAUAUUGUUGACCCAACACAGGUGUGCAAUUAAGGAAAGAUUAAAAAGAGUAAAAGGAACUCGGCAAAUAUUAACCCCGCCUGUUUACCAAAAACAUCACCUCUAGCAUAAAAAGUAUUAGAGGCACUGCCUGCCCAGUGACCUUAGUUUAACGGCCGCGGUAUUCUGACCGUGCAAAGGUAGCAUAAUCACUUGUUCUCUAAAUAAGGACUUGUAUGAAUGGCCCCACGAGGGUUCUACUGUCUCUUACUCUCAAUCAGUGAAAUUGACAUUCUCGUGAAGAGGCGAGAAUUAGCAAAUAAGACGAGAAGACCCUAUGGAGCUUUAAUUAACUAACUCAAAAACCCCCUACUUAUAAAUAAAUCCGUUUAAUUGAGUUAGCAACUUAGGUUGGGGCGACCUCGGAAUAAAAAAAAACUUCCGAGAUAAUUAAUUAAGACCAACAAGUCAAAAUUACUUCAAUAUAUAAUGAUCCGCUAUCAGCGAUCAACGAACCAAGUUACCCUAGGGAUAACAGCGCAAUCCUAUUUAAGAGUCCAUAUCGACAAUAGGGUUUACGACCUCGAUGUUGGAUCAGGACGCCCUAAUGGUGCAGCAGCUAUUAACGUGUUCGUUUGUUCAACGAUUAAAGUCCUACGUGAUCUGAGUUCAGACCGGAGUAAUCCAGGUCGGUUUCUAUCUAUUUACAAGUCUCUCCUAGUACGAAAGGACAAGAGAAACAAGGCCCACUUAAAAUAAGCGCCUUAAAAUAAAAGAUGAGUUAAUCUUAAUUUUAUAAAACAUAAUACAACCCUAGAAAAGGGCUCA